UACGAAGGGGGCGAGCGUUGUUCGGAAUUACUGGGCGUAAAGGGCGCGUAGGCGGCGACUCAAGUUAGAUGUGAAAGUCCUGGGCUUAACCUGGGGACUGCAUUUGAUACUGGGUUGCUUGAAUUCGGGAGAGGAUAGCGGAAUUCCCAGUGUAGAGGUGAAAUUCGUAGAUAUUGGGAAGAACACCGGUGGCGAAGGCGGCUAUCUGGACCGACAUUGACGCUGAGGAGCGAAAGCCAGGGGAGCAAACAGG
rnacentral:rRNA from 1 species